AUUGAACGCUGGCGGCAUGCCUUACACAUGCAAGUCGAACGGCAGCACGGGUGCUUGCACCUGGUGGCGAGUGGCGAACGGGUGAGUAAUACAUCGGAACAUGUCCUGUAGUGGGGGAUAGCCCGGCGAAAGCCGGAUUAAUACCGCAUACGAUCUACGGAUGAAAGCGGGGGACCUUCGGGCCUCGCCCUAUAGGGUUGGCCGAUGGCUGAUUAGCUAGUUGGUGGGGUAAAGGCCUACCAAGGCGACGAUCAGUAGCUGGCCUGAGAGGACGACCAGCCACACUGGGACUGAGACACGGCCCAGACUCCUACGGGAGGCAGCAGUGGGGAAUUUUGGACAAUGGGCGAAAGCCUGAUCCAGCAAUGCCGCGUGUGUGAAGAAGGCCUUCGGGUUGUAAAGCACUUUUGUCCGGAAAGAAAUCCUUGGCCCUAAUACGGUCGGGGGAUGACGGUACCGGAAGAAUAAGCACCGGCUAACUACGUG
rnacentral:rRNA from 1 species